rnacentral:rRNA from 1 species
AGAACGAACGCUGGCGGCGUGGAUUAGGCAUGCAAGUCGAGCGCGAAAGGGGAGCAAUCCCCGAGUAGAGCGGCGAACUGGUGAGUAACAGGUGGGUAACGUGCCCCGAAGCGGGGGAUAACCAAGGGAAACUUUGGCUAAUACCGCAUGUGGUCUAGGGAGCUUCGGCUUCUUCGACUAAAGCAGCAAUGCACUUUGGGAUCGGCCCGCCCCCGAUUAGCUAGUUGGUGAGGUAAUGGCUUACCAAGCUGCGAUCGGUA